CUUCAAGGUAUGAAAUAAAUUGUUCCAGGAGGAGACAACACACACACACACAACCACAAACAUAUCAUUUGAGCACAGUACUACACCUUCCACCCAGAAAAGCAAAGGCCUCCUAUUAUUAAAAGGACAAUGAAGGUACAUCUUCUUAUUUUAUUUUUUUAACCCAGUAAUAAAAUGGAAGCAGAAAGAUGAAGCAGAGACGUUCCAGAUGUUCCAGGUGCUGGGAACAGGGCUGGUUGUGCCCUGAGAAAUCACAGCAAGCUCUCCUCUCUCUGGAUGUCAGUUUCCGCUUGUUUCGAAGGAGGAGAGAGGUUACCUGCAGACUCCUCCCGUGGAGACCUCUCGGAUGCCUCCAUUUGGGAGAAAACUGAAUAUGUCAAAGGGCACCAGAUCUGGGAACCAAAGGGGAGGUGAGAACACUUGGGACCUCUUUAUUUUUGUUGUCAGUAUAAAAUCAGGACUGUCUGGCUCUGAGGUUUAAAGCAAAUAAACCAAGAUCUGGUACGUGAGCCUACUGUGCUUCCAUUUAUACCCCAAUGUGUUAAGUAUAAAUAGCAUUAUUAAGAAGGUGGUUGCCAACAUUUCUCAACAUUCAAUAGUUAAAAAAAGAAGGGUGGAAAUAUUUUACUGCUAUUUUAACUGUAUUUAUGUGCUUUAGGGAGCUGGAUUCUGACUACCUGCUAUACUUCCGGAGACUCAUUUGGGUAUAUUUAGAAAGAUCAUAAAUUCUUGUGGUCUUGAGGGUGGUUUGGUGAAUUAAACCCCUAGAGACUAGAUACUUUUUUUUUUUUUGAAACAGAGCUUUACUCUGUUUUCCAGGCUGGAGUGCAGUGACAGUAACACAGCUCACUGCAGCCUUGACAUCCAGGGCUCAAGCGGUCUUCCCAGCUCAGCCCGACAAGUAGCUGCUACUACAGGUGCACACCACCACACCCAGCUAAUUUUUGUGUGUGUGUAUUUUUGGUAGAGACAGGGUUUCACUAUGUUUCCCAGGCAGGCGUCAAACUCCUGAGCUCAAGUGAUCUACCCGCCUUGGCCUCCCAAAGUGCUGGGAUUACAGACGUGAGCCACCUUGCCCAGCUUAAGACUUUUGUCAUUGUAAAGGGUAAUAUGGCUCCUUCAAGUUCCUAACUGACCCCUCUCCCAUCCCCAGUAGUUUAUGCUAUGGGAGAGUCAGACUCCUUUUCAGUCACUGCAGCUGUGGUCUCCCAAGGAACGUUCUGGAAAAAGAGAGCAGAACUGCAAUGGAAUGCAGAGAUUUCUGCUACUUGAUCCUGCAUCUGUAAAACAGGG
rnacentral:lncRNA from 1 species